rnacentral:rRNA from 1 species
AUUGAACGCUGGCGGCAGGCCUAACACAUGCAAGUCGAACGAGUGGCGGAGGGGUGAGUAAUGUCUGGGAAACUGCCUGAUGGAGGGGGAUAACUACUGGAAACUGUAGCUAAUACAGCAUUCCAUCAGGUGUGCCCCGAUGGGAUUAGCUUGUUGGUGGGGUAACGGCUCACGAAGGCGACGAUCCCUAGCUGGUCUGAGAGGAGGACCAGCCACACUGGAACUGGGACACGGUCCAGACUCCUACGGGAGGCAGCAGUGGGGAAUAUUGGACAAUGGGCGAAAGCCUGAUGCAGCCAUGCCGAGUGUAUGAAGAAGGCCUUCGGGUUGUAAAGUACUUUCAGCGGGGAGGCGGUACCCGCAGAAGAAGCACCGGCUAACUCCGUGCCAGCAGCCGCGGUAAUUC